rnacentral:rRNA from 1 species
GAUGAACGCUGGCGGCGUGCCUAAUACAUGCAAGUCGAGCGAACGGACGAGAAGCUUGCUUUUCUGAUGUUAGCGGCGGACGGGUGAGUAACACGUGGAUAACCUACCUAUAAGACUGGGAUAACUUCGGGAAACCGGAGCUAAUACCGGAUAAUAUUUUGAACCGCAUGGUUCAAAAGUGAAAGACGGUCUUGCUGUCACUUAUAGAUGGAUCCGCGCUGCAUUAGCUAGUUGGUAAGGUAACGGCUUACCAAGGCAACGAUGCAUAGCCGACCUGAGAGGGUGAUCGGCCCACCUGGAACUGAGACACGGUCCAGACUCCUACGGGAGGCAGCAGUAGGGAAUCUUCCGCAAUGGGCGAAAGCCUGACGGAGCAACGCCGCGUGAGUGAUGAAGGUCUUCGGAUCGUAAAACUCUGUUAUUAGGGAAGAACAUAUGUGUAAGUAACUGUGCACAUCUUGACGGUACCUAAUCAGAAAGCCACGGCUAACUACGUG